rnacentral:rRNA from 1 species
UACGUAGGGGGCAAGCGUUGUUCGGAAUUACUGGGCGUAAAGCGCACGUAGGCGGAUAUUUAAGUCAGGGGUGAAAUCCCAGAGCUCAACUCUGGAACUGCCUUUGAUACUGGGUAUCUUGAGUAUGGAAGAGGUGAGUGGAAUUCCGAGUGUAGAGGUGAAAUUCGUAGAUAUUCGGAGGAACACCAGUGGCGAAGGCGGCUCACUGGUCCAUUACUGACGCUGAGGUGCGAAAGCGUGGGGAGCAAACAGG